rnacentral:rRNA from 1 species
GACGAACCGUGCAAGCGUUGUUCGGAAUCACUGGGCUUAAAGGGCGCGUAGGCGGGCAAGCAAGUCGAAGGUGAAAUCCCACGGCUCAACCGUGGAAGUGCCCCCGAUACUGCUUGUCUUGAGGGAGAUAGGGGCGUGCGGAACUUCCGGUGGAGCGGUGAAAUGCGUAGAUAUCGGAAGGAACACCGGUGGCGAAAGCGGCGCGCUGGAUCUCUUCUGACGCUGAGGCGCGAAAGCCAGGGGAGCAAACGGG